AGUCAAAUGCUUAUCUACUUAAGGACAAGUUGUGAUGAGGAGCGAAAUUUAGUAGCGAAGUGAGAGACGUCACACUGCCAAGAAAAGCUUCUAGUUAGAGUUUAAUCACCCGUACCGCAAACCGACACAGGUAGUCGAGGCGAGUAGCCUAAGGUGAGCGAGAGAACUCUCGUUAAGGAACUCGGCAAAAUGACCCCGUAACUUCGGGAGAAGGGGUGCUGAGCGCAAGCUCAGCCGCAGUGAAUAGGCCCAGGCGACUGUUUAUCAAAAACACAGGUUUCUGCAAAAUCGUAAGAUGAAGUAUAGGGGCUGACGCCUGCCCGGUGCUGGAAGGUUAAGAGGAUGGGUUAGCGUAAGCGAAGCUCAGAAUUGAAGCCCCAGUAAACGGCGGCCGUAACUAUAACGGUCCUAAGGUAGCGAAAUUCCUUGUCGGGUAAGUUCCGACCCGCACGAAAGGCGUAACGAUCUGGGCACUGUCUCAACGAGAGACUCGGUGAA
rnacentral:rRNA from 1 species